rnacentral:misc_RNA from 1 species
GGGAAUUCGACAGCCGGCGUGGUGGCGCAGCUGGCGGCAGCGAAGGCGGCGUCGGGGAAGACGCACGGCCAGAUCGCCGUCGAGACAGGGCUGACCAACGUGUACGUGGCCCAGCUGCUGCGGCGCCAGGCCCAGCUGAAGCCCGCCACCGCCCCCGCUCUCCGCGCCGCCCUCCCCGCCCUCACUGACGACCUUAUUGCCGAGAUGAUGGCGCCGCUCACCCGCUCAUACCGUCCCGAUCUCCUCCAAGAUCCCGCCUUGUACCGACUUAGCGAAGCCAUUAUGCAUUUUGGAGAGAGUAUCAAGGAAAUCAUUCACGAGGACUUUGGCGAUGGCAUUAUGUCAGCUAUAGAUUUUUA